CCUACGGGGGGCAGCAGUCGAGAAUCAUUCACAAUGGGGGAAACCCUGAUGGUGCGACGCCGCGUGGGGGAAUGAAGGUCUUCGGAUUGUAAACCCUUGUCAUGUGGGAGCAAAUUAAAAAGAUAGUACCACAAGAGGAAGAGACGGCUAACUCUGUGCCAGCAGCCGCGGUAAUACAGAGGUCUCAAGCGUUGUUCGGAAUCACGGGGCGUAAGGCGUGCGUAGGCUGUUUCGUAAGUCGUGUGUGAAAGGCGCGGGCUCAACCCGCGGACGGCACAUGAUACUGCGAGACUAGAGUAAUGGAGGGGGAACCGGAAUGCUCGGUGUAGCAGUGAAAUGCGUAGAUAUCGAGAGGAACACUCGUGGCGAAGGCGGGUUGCUGGACAUUAACUGACGCUGAGGCACGAAGGCCAGGGGAGCGAAAGGGAUUAGAUACCCGAGUAGUC
rnacentral:rRNA from 1 species